rnacentral:rRNA from 1 species
UACGGAGGAUCCAAGCGUUAUCCGGAUUCAUUGGGUUUAAAGGGUGCGUAGGCGGAAUGAUAAGUCAGUGGUGAAAUCCUGCAGCUUAACUGCAGAACUGCCAUUGAUACUGUCAAUCUUGAGUACAUUUGAUGUGGGCGGAAUGUGUCAUGUAGCGGUGAAAUGCUUAGAUAUGACACAGAACACCGAUUGCGAAGGCAGCUCACAAAACUGUAACUGACGCUGAGGCACGAAAGCGUGGGUAUCAAACAGGAUUAGAAACCCUCGUAGUCC